rnacentral:rRNA from 1 species
ACUACACAUGCAGUCGAGCGGAACGAGUUAUCUGAACCUUCGGGGAACGAUAACGGCGUCGAGCGGCGGACGGGUGAGUAAUGCCUAGGAAAUUGCCCUGAUGUGGGGGAUAACCAUUGGAAACGAUAGCUAAUACCGCAUAAUGCCUACGGGCCAAAGAGGGGGACCUUCGGGCCUCUCGCGUCAGGAUGUGCCUAGGUGGGAUUAGCUAGUUGGUGAGGUAAUGGCUCACCAAGGCGACGAUCCCUAGCUGGUCUGAGAGGAUGAUCAGCCACACUGGAACUGAGACACGGUCCAGACUCCUACGGGAGGCAGCAGUGGGGAAUAUUGCACAAUGGGCGCAAGCCUGAUGCAGCCAUGCCGCGUGUGUGAAGAAGGCCUUCGGGUUGUAAAGCACUUUCAGUCGUGAGGAAGGUGGUGUAGUUAAUAGCUGCAUUACUUGACGUUAGCGACAGAAGAAGCACCGGCUAACUCCGUGCCAGCAGCCGCGGUAAUACGGAGGGUGCGAGCGUUAAUCGGAAUUACUGGGCGUAAAGCGCAUGCAGGUGGUUUGUUAAGUCAGAUGUGAAAGCCCGGGGCUCAACCUCGGAAUAGCAUUUGAAACUGGCAGACUAGAGUACUGUAGAGGGGGGUAGAAUUUCAGGUGUAGCGGUGAAAUGCGUAGAGAUCUGAAGGAAUACCGGUGGCGAAGGCGGCCCCCUGGACAGAUACUGACACUCAGAUGCGAAAGCGUGGGGAGCAAACAGGAUUAGAUACCCUGGCAGUCCACGCCGUAAACGAUGUCUACUUGGAGGUUGUGGCCUUGAGCCGUGGCUUUCGGAGCUAACGCGUUAAGUAGACCGCCUGGGGAGUACGGUCGCAAGAUUAAAACUCAAAUGAAUUGACGGGGGCCCGCACAAGCGGUGGAGCAUGUGGUUUAAUUCGAUGCAACGCGAAGAACCUUACCUACUCUUGACAUCCAGAGAACUUUCCAGAGAUGGAUUGGUGCCUUCGGGAACUCUGAGACAGGUGCUGCAUGGCUGUCGUCAGCUCGUGUUGUG